rnacentral:rRNA from 1 species
UACGGAGGGUGCAAGCGUUAUCCGGAUUCACUGGGUUUAAAGGGUGUGUAGGCGGACUGUUAAGUCAGUGGUGAAAUCCCGGGGCUCAACCCCGGAACUGCCAUUGAUACUAUCAGUCUUGAAUACUGUGGAGGUGAGCGGAAUGUGUCAUGUAGCGGUGAAAUGCUUAGAGAUGACACAGAACACCGAUUGCGAAGGCAGCUCACUACGCAGUUAUUGACGCUGAGGCACGAAAGCGUGGGGAUCAAACAGG